rnacentral:misc_RNA from 1 species
AUAAUGUGCUUUACCUGGGAAAGGAGAAUGGUAUUCCUAUUUUGACAAUGACAUGCCAACUGUCAGAUGUUGAUAACUUCAAAUCAGGUAAAGUAGGUAUGUGCAAACCAUCUAAAGAAUAUGCCAACACUCUGAUUAGAGGUUUGGUAGAAGGGAAGCAGUUAUCAGAAGAGGAAGCCACCACUUACAUACAAGAAGCAGCUAGCAGAGCAUUGUAACUGCCCUAUCCUGCUUGUUUGUUUGUACAGUUGACAAUUAUGUGAGUAUAAUGCCUA